rnacentral:rRNA from 1 species
UGGGGAAUCUUGGACAAUGGGCGCAAGCCUGAUCCAGCCAUGCCGCGUGAGUGAAGAAGGCCUUCGGGUUGUAAAGCUCUUUUACCAGGGACGAUAAUGACGGUACCUGGAGAAUAAGCCCCGGCAAACUUCGUGCCAGCAGCCGCGGUAAUACGAAGGGGGCUAGCGUUGUUCGGAAUUACUGGGCGUAAAGGGCGCGUAGGCGGCAAUUCAAGUCAUCUGUGAAAUCUCCGGGCUUAACUCGGAACGGUCAGAUGAUACUGCUUUGCUAGAGUGCAGAAGGGGCAAUCGGAAUUCUUGGUGUAGCGGUGAAAUGCGUAGAUAUCAAGAGGAACACCUGAGGUGAAGACGGGUUGCUGGGCUGACACUGACGCUGAGGCACGAAAGCAUGGGGAGCAAAAGGGAUUAGAUACCCUGGUAGUCCCUGAGCGGGCUGGCAAGGCGCAU